rnacentral:rRNA from 1 species
GACGAACGCUGGCGGCGUGCCUAAUACAUGCCAGUUGAGCGCUGAAGGUUGGUACUUGUACCGACUGGAUGAGCAGCGAACGGGUGAGUAACGCGUGGGGAAUCUGCCUUUGAGCGGGGGACAACAUUUGGAAACGAAUGCUAAUACCGCAUAAAAACUUUAAACACAAGUUUUAAGUUUGAAAGAUGCAAUUGCAUCACUCAAAGAUGAUCCCGCGUUGUAUUAGCUAGUUGGUGAGGUAAAGGCUCACCAAGGCGAUGAUACAUAGCCGACCUGAGAGGGUGAUCGGCCACAUUGGGACUGAGACACGGCCCAAACGCCUACGGGAGGCAGCAGUAGGGAAUCUUCGGCAAUGGACGAAAGUCUGACCGAGCAACGCCGCGUGAGUGAAGAAGGUUUUCGGAUCGUAAAACUCUGUUGGUAGAGAAGAACGUUGGUGAGAGUGGAAAGCUCAUCAAGUGACGGUAACUACCCAGAAAGGGACGGCUAACUACGUG